rnacentral:rRNA from 1 species
GACGAACGCUGGCGGCGUGCUUAACACAUGCAAGUCGAACGGAAAGGCCCGCAUCAUUUUUGUGGUGGGGGUGCUCGAGUGGCGAACGGGUGAGUAACACGUGGGUGAUCUGCCCUGUACUUCGGGAUAAGCUUGGGAAACUGGGUCUAAUACCGGAUAGGACCAUGGUUUAGUGUCUCAUGGUGGAAAGAUUAUUGUUUUGGUGCAGGAUGAGCUCGCGGCCUAUCAGCUUGUUGGUGGGGUAAUGGCCUACCAAGGCGUCGACGGGUAGCCGGCCUGAGAGGGUGGACGGCCACAUUGGGACUGAGAUACGGCCCAGACUCCUACGGGAGGCAGCAGUGGGGAAUAUUGCACAAUGGGCGCAAGCCUGAUGCAGCGACGCCGCGUGGGGGAUGACGGCCUUCGGGUUGUAAGCUCCUUUCGUUAGGGACGAAGCCACAUUUUUUGGGUGUGGUGACGGUACCUUUGUUAAGAAGCACCGGCUAACUACGUGCCAGCAGCCGCGGUAAUACGUAGGGUGCGAGCGUUGUCCGGAAUUACUGGGCGUAAAGAGCUCGUAGGUGGUUUGUUGCGUCGUCUGUGAAAUUCCGGGGCUUAACUUCGGGGUGGCAGGCGAUACGGGCAUAACUAGAGUGCUGUAGGGGAGACUGGAAUUCCUGGUGUAGCGGUGGAAUGCGCAGAUAUCAGGAGGAACACCGAUGGCGAAGGCAGGUCUCUGGGCAGUAACUGACGCUGAGGAGCGAAAGCAUGGGGAGCGAACAGGAUUAGAUACCCUGGUAGUCCAUGCUGUAAACGGUGGGCGUUAGGUGUGGGGACCGGUUUGGUUUCUGUGCCGUAGCUAACGCAUUAAGCGCCCCGCCUGGGGAGUACGGCCGCAAGGCUAAAACUCAAAGGAAUUGACGGGGGCCCGCACAAGCGGCGGAGCAUGUGGAUUAAUUCGAUGCAACGCGAAGAACCUUACCUGGGUUUGACAUGCACCAGACGGUUGUAGAGAUACGUACCUCCCUUUGUGGUUGGUGUGCAGGUGGUGCAUGGUUGUCGUCAGCUCGUGUCGUGAGAUGUUGGGUUAAGUCCCGCAACGAGCGCAACCCUUGUCUUAUGUUGCCAGCACUUUGGGUGGGGACUCAUGAGAGACUGCCGGGGUUAACUCGGAGGAAGGUGGGGAUGACGUCAAAUCAUCAUGCCCUUUAUGCCCAGGGCUUCACACAUGCUACAAUGGUUAGUACAACGCGCUGCGAACCUGUGAGGGUGAGCGAAUCGCUGAAAGCUAAUCUCAGUUCGGAUUGGGGUCUGCAACUCGACCCCAUGAAGUCGGAGUCGCUAGUAAUCGCAGAUCAGCAAUGCUGCGGUGAAUACGUUCCCGGGCCU